GCGGGUGCGCACGGCCGUCGGGAAGAGGGUAGCAACCAGGAUCGCCAGUUGAGGCCACAGAGUUAUAGCUGAGUGGGAAACGAUGUGGGAAGGCACAGACAGCCAGGAUGUUGGCUUAGAAGCAGCCAUCAUUUAAAGAAAGCGUAAUAGCUCACUGGUCGAGUCGGCCUGCGCGGAAGAUGUAACGGGGCUAAACCAUGCACCGAAGCUGCGGCAGCGACACUAUGUGUUGUUGGGUAGGGGAGCGUUCUGUAAGCCGUUGAAGGUGUGCUGUGAGGCAUGCUGGAGGUAUCAGAAGUGCGAAUGCUGACAUAAGUAACGAUAAAGCGGGUGAAAAGCCCGCUCGCCGGAAGACCAAGGGUUCCUGUCCAACGUUAAUCGGGGCAGGGUGAGUCGACCCCUAAGGCGAGGCCGAAAGGCGUAGUCGAUGGGAAACAGGUUAAUAUUCCUGUACUUGGUGUUACUGCGAAGGGGGGACGGAGAAGGCUAUGUGAGCCUGGCGACGGUUGUCCAGGUCCAAGUAUGUAGGCUGAUGGUUUAGGCAAAUCCGGACCAUCUUAAGGCUGAGAUACGAUGUCGAGCUACUACGGUAGUGAAGUCAUUGAUGCCAUGCUUCCGGGAAAAGCUUCUAAGCUUCAGAUUAUAAGAAAUCGUACCCCAAACCGACACAGGUGAUCAGGUAGAGAAUACCAAGGCGCUUGAGAGAACUCGGGUGAAGGAACUAGGCAAAAUGGUGCCGUAACUUCGGGAGAAGGCACGCUGAUAUGUAGGUGAAGUGAUUUACUCAUGGAGCUGAAAUCAGUCGAAGAUACCAGCUGGCUGCAACUGUUUAUUAAAAACACAGCACUGUGCAAACACGAAAGUGGACGUAUACGGUGUGACGCCUGCCCGGUGCCGGAAGGUUAAUUGAUGGGGUUAGACUUCGGUCGAAGCUCUUGAUCGAAGCCCCGGUAAACGGCGGCCGUAACUAUAACGGUCCUAAGGUAGCGAAAUUCCUUGUCGGGUAAGUUCCGACCUGCACGAAUGGCGUAAUGAUGGCCAGGCUGUCUCCACCCGAGACUCAGUGAAAUUGAACUCGCUGUGAAGAUGCAGUGUACCCGCGGCAAGACGGAAAGACCCCGUGAACCUUUACUAUAGCUUGACACUGAACAUUGAGCCUUGAUGUGUAGGAUAGGUGGGAGGCUUUGAAGCGUGGACGCCAGUCUGCGUGGAGCCAACCUUGAAAUACCACCCUUUAAUGGCUGGUGUUCUAACGUAGACCCGUAAUCCGGGUUGCGGACAGUGUCUGGUGGGUAGUUUGACUGGGGCGGUCUCCUCCCAAAGAGUAACGGAGGAGCACGAAGGUUGGCUAAUCCUGGUCGGACAUCAGGAGGUUAGUGCAAUGGCAUAAGCCAGCUUGACUGCGAGCGUGACGGCGCGAGCAGGUGCGAAAGCAGGUCAUAGUGAUCCGGUGGUUCUGAAUGGAAGGGCCAUCGCUCAACGGAUAAAAGGUACUCCGGGGAUAACAGGCUGAUACCGCCCAAGAGUUCAUAUCGACGGCGGUGUUUGGCACCUCGAUGUCGGCUCAUCACAUCCUGGGGCUGAAGUAGGUCCCAAGGGUAUGGCUGUUCGCCAUUUAAAGUGGUACGCGAGCUGGGUUUAGAACGUCGUGAGACAGUUCGGUCCCUAUCUGCCGUGGGCGCUGGAGAAUUGAGGGGGGCUGCUCCUAGUACGAGAGGACCGGAGUGGACGCAUCACUGGUGUUCGGGUUGUCAUGCCAAUGGCACUGCCCGGUAGCUAAAUGCGGAAGAGAUAAGUGCUGAAAGCAUCUAAGCACGAAACUUGCCCCGAGAUGAGUUCUCCCUGAGACUUUAAGUCUCCUGAAGGAACGUUGAAGACGACGACGUUGAUAGGUCGGGUGUGUAAGCGCAGCGAUGCGUUGAGCUAACCGAUACUAAUGAACCGUGAGGCUUAACCUUACAACGCCGAAGCUGUU
rnacentral:rRNA from 1 species